GACUCUGGCCGCGGCGAUUCAAUAUAUCCGGAAGCAACUGUCAUGGCUGCUGUCAGUGAGGGCCCGUAAUGGAGAUCGAGUCAAGGGUUGCCCAGGGACACUUAAGAGCCUUCGGCUUCAAGGAGGCCUCUCAAAGGACAAAGGAUGAGACUGCCUGGCGGCAGAGUGCCCCCCACAAUCGUAGGAACUGUGUCGCCGCGCUUCCCGUUAACUUGCCGCUAAGUUUUUCUAGAAAAGUCGCCCUUCUUGCCAGGGGUGUCCUAUAGACUUUGUCAUGGAGUGAAACAGAAACAAAUAAUUUAUAUCAAAUACAGAUUAAUUUGAAAAUUUGACAUUUGGAGAUAAUCUCAGUGACUAAAAAGAAUAAAACAGGCAUGGGACACUUGCAAGGAGGAACAGAAACAAAAUUUUAAAACCCUCUCAUUACUUAACCUACAGCAAAGAUGAAUUUAUAAGCAUCUCAUUUAAACUCUAGGGUAAGUAAAUUUUUAAAAAGUUUUUAGAGAAUGAGAAAUACAAAGAGAUUUUGCUAAUUUAAGACGUCGUCGUUUUUAGUUUAGUGUACUGGGUAAAGGAUUUUCCAAGUUAACUAACAACUUUAUUCUCCAAAUCCUGAGUUUUUACUUUUAGGUGUCAGCCAUGACUUCUUCUCAUCAGGAGUAUUUAAAAAUGUUAUCCUACCAGUUGGUGAAAAAAUAUCACACCUCCUUUCUAAUCUUUAUUGGAAAAUCUCCUUUUCUUUUCUUUUUUUCUUUUCUGUUGAGGCCUGGUCUCGCUCUGUUGCCCAGGCUGGAGUGCAGUGGCGCAGUCUCUGCUCACUGUACCCUCUGCCUCCCAGGUUCAAGCGAUUCUCCUGCCUCAGCCUCCCGGGUAGAGGGGAUUACAGGCACCCGUCACCACACCCAGCUAAGUUUUGUAUUUUUUCAGUAGAGACAGAGUUUCGCCUGGUCUCGAAUUCCUGACUUCAAGUGAUCCACCCCCCUUGGCCUCCCAAAGUGCUGGGAUUACAGGCAUGAGCCACCGUGCCCAGCCAGAAAAAAAUCAUUCUUUAUAGUCAAAGCUUAAAUGCUUCAUGACCCAUCUUCAUAGGAGAGUAUUCUUUUUAUGCUCUGUUCCCUGAUUUGGUGACUGUGAGAACUCUUAUAUAACAUUUAUGAAGUGCUUACACAGCAUUAAGAGAUAGGCAUGAAAAGAUGACUACAUCUUGCCUCAGCCCUGCAAGUACCUAUGGGAGAGUGACAUUUAAAUGUAUACAUGUAGCUAGGUGUGGUGGCUCAUGCCUAUAAUCCUAGCACUUUGUGAGGCUGAGACAGGAGGAUCGCUUGAGGCCAGGAGUUCAGACCACUGUGAGCAACAUAGGGAUCUCAUCUCUACAAAAAAUAAAAAAAAUUAGCCAGGUGUGGUGGUUUGCAACUGUAGUCCUGGCUGUUCAGGAGGCUGAGGUGGGAAGAUCACUUGAGCUUAGGAGGUCAAGGCUUCAGUGAGCUGUGAUUUUGCCACUGCAUUCCAGCCUGGUGACAGAGUGAGACCUUGUCUCCAGUCGAUCAAUCAAUCAAUC